rnacentral:misc_RNA from 1 species
GAAAUGCGAUAAGUAAUGUGACUUGCAUUAUUCUGUGAAUCAUUGAAUUUUUGAACGCACCUUGCACUUUUCACUCUAAAGAAAAGUAUACCUGUUUGAGUAUCGCAUCAAAACAUCCAACUCUGGUUGGGAGCAUGAGGAUUUUUCGAAUUCCUUUAAAUGCAUUGGUAACAGUGAGGUAAAUAAUUUCACUAGCAUCAACCUUGAACUUUGAUCUCAAAUCAGGCAAGACUACCCGCCGAACUUAA